rnacentral:rRNA from 1 species
GACGAACGCUGGCGGCGUGCCUAAUACAUGCAAGUCGAGCGAAUCUUUUGGGAGCUUGCUCCCGAAAGAUUAGCGGCGGACGGGUGAGUAACACGUGGGCAACCUGCCUAUAAGACUGGGAUAACUUCGGGAAACCGGAGCUAAUACCGCAUACGUGCUUUUCUCGAAUGAGCGAAGAUGGAAAGACGGUCUCGGCGGUCACUUAUAGAUGGGCACGCGGCGCAUUAGCUAGUUGGUGGGGUAAUGGCGCACCAAGGCGACGAUGCAUAGCCGACCUGAGUGGGUGAUCGGCCACACUGGAACGGAGACACGGCCCAGACUCCUACGGGAGGCAGCAGUAGGGAAUCUUCCGCAAUGGACGAAAGUCUGACGGAGCAACGCCGCGUGAACGAAGAAGGCCUUCGGGUCGUAAAGUUCUGUUGUUAGGGAAGAACAAGUACCAGAGUAACUGCUGGUACCCUGACGGUACCUAUCCAGAAAGCCACGGCUAACUACGUGCCAGCCGCCGCAGUAACAC